rfam:Camelus ferus unplaced genomic scaffold scaffold968, whole genome shotgun sequence.
GAUGGUAUAGCUCAGUGGUGAAGCACGUGCUUAGCAUGCCCAAGGUCCUGGGUUCGAUUCCCAGUAUCUCCA